AUUACGAAGUUUACUUUUUUAUUUUAAUUUCUAUAAAAGCUAUAACUUAAUUAUAAGGUUGUAUAAAAUCUUCAACAUUACCAUGGCUUACCUAAUGGUCUUUGGCAGUUUUAAAACAUGUCUGCCAACUUAUUUGACAUUUCUUCCAUCAGGAAGUGGGGUCUAUUUCUCCACCCCUUCGAAUCUGUGCCGAUUUUAGUGGCUAUUGACAAUAGUGUGCAGUGGAAGUGAUACCACUGCCUCUGGAGCUAGGUUCUAAAUGCCUAUUCAACUCUGCUUGUCUCUCCGGAUUACUUGUAAUGGAGACCUGAGUUUUCAUAUGAGCAGUCUGACUGCUCUGUAAGCACUGCAAAUGGAAUGACCACAUGGAACAACGUUGGAACUAUAAGAAGAGAUAGAGAUAACCAGCCUGGACCAGCCUCCACCUGCUACAGUCACCUGCUAUUCCAGCUCCAGCCACAUGAGACGACCUGAGCUGGAAUGGCUUAGCUAAGCCUGUUCUGAAUUCCUAAACUACAGAAAUUUUGAGAGAGAAAAACAAAAUGCUUUACAUUUAGAGGAAUAGCAAAUUUAGGAAGAAUGUCCCUUCCCCUCUGUAAUAACCAUGAUUCUCUAGAGAAAUAUAAGCAAUUCAGCAAGACAAAUACAACAAAAUUUUAAACGUCAAAUGCUUUUCUCUUCUUUGUAUUAAAAAAACACACCUAAGAAAGCAAAAUAUUCUGUUUGUGAUACCAGUUAAGUUGUAAAAUAUCUAUAAUAAGCUUCAUGAAAAUGUUACAUGAUACACAUUAAGCAAUGUAAAAUCUCUGAAUGACAUAAAAGUAGAUGUUCUUUUUUUUUUUUUCAGUGAGGAAGAUUGGCUCUACGCUAAUAUCUGUUGCCAAUCUUCCUCUUUUGUUUUUCUCUCCACAGCCCCCGUACAUAGCUGUAUAUCAUAGUUCUAAGUCCUUCUAGUUCUUCUACAUAGGAUGCCUCGACAGUAUGGCUUGGUGAGCAGUGUGUAGGUCUGUGCCCGGGAUCCGAACCCACGAACCCCAGGCAGCUGAAGCAAAACAUGUGAACUUAACCACUACACCACCAGGCUGGCCCCAAAGCAGAUGAUCUUGGAUGAGAAAACUUAAUAUAAAAAUUUCAGUAUUCCCAAAUUAAUGCAAAUAAUGCCAUUCAUUUAGAAGUCCAACAGGCUUUUGUUGUUGCUGUUGUAUUAUUGAGGAAAAUUAUUUGAAAGUAUAUAUAAAAUGAGAAAUGUCUAAGAGUAGCUGUAAUAUAUUGGAGGAGAAUUAUUCAGUUCAGGUCACUUCUAUGUUUCUCUGUUUUUUCAUCCUAGCUGGUCACUCAAUGCAUGUUCUUCUCUUGGAAAUGGCAGAAGGAAAAGAAGCAACCCCAGACAUGCACACACAUUGAAAUUCUCUUCUUUCUCCAUGUCUGCUAAUAUCCCAUUGAACCCAAAACAUAGCAUGAUCAAGACAAAAGUCUAGGGACAGACUUAAGGAUGAUAACCAACAGGAGCAUUGAGACUCGUAAGGGAAGUUUUGUAAUCAUAUCAGCACCUCCUUCCUUGGAGGUUAGGAGUGAGAAGAGGGAGUGAAAAUUUGCUGAACAAUAUUCUAUUCCACCAGAGCGGAAUAUUUUGGGAUCCUUAGACACGGACUUCAAUUUGGGAAGAUUAUAUUUCAAGUAUACUUAAAUUUACACUUCCCUUGGGAACCUAAAUGCUCCUGCUUUAUUCCUGGUUGUCAUCCUCAAGACUCUGCUUUUGAAAUAACCCCUCAUCAAUUGUUCUCAGUCCCAAUCUUUCCCUCCCUGCAGCCCGUCCUCUAUCGCAGUGCUUCUCAAACUUUAGAAUUAUGUACAAAUCAACAGAGAUCUUUCUAAAAUGUGGAUUCCAGUUCAGUAAUUCUGGGGAGGCCUGAGAUUCUCCAUUUUAUCAAACUCCCAGGAGAUGUUCGUGAUGCUAGUGUGCGGCCCAAUCCUUAAUUACCAGGACUUUAUCCUGUUGUCAGAAACACACACACACAUACACACACAAACGUGCAAAUCUUCAUCAGUUCUCUGCUUUGUUUUCUAUUGUGUUCAUAUUAAUUAGAGAAUAAAAUUCAGCUGCACACGUCUUCUUCCCUCCUUUUUAAAUGGAGCUUCUUGCAAUGCCAGUUGCAAGCUCUUUCCUUCAUUUUUAAUGAACAAACAUUGACUCACUGUCCCAGAGGGAGCUCACAUGUCAAUAAAUGCCACAGUGCUACCAGGUAGGGCUACUCUCCUAAUUUUUCAUUCUCUAUGUAACAGGUCUGUACCACCUUUGUUUGUACCACUGAUGAUCAUAAUAUCAAUUCCCUGAGGAAGAGCAGCUCUAUUUUAUUUACCUGCACCUGCAGAAUCUAGCAUAUGGGCCUGGCCCGCCAUAUUCAAUCAGAUAUAUUUAUAUAUCCCAAGUGAUGCUAUAUUUGUAUUUUAUUAUUAUUAUUAUUUCACAUGUAAUCAAGUGCCUAUAAGUGCCAAACACUGAGCAGAUCACUGGGGAUGCAAUGUGGAGCAAAGAUCACUUCAUCCUGGAAACUAACAGUCCAGUGGGAGAAAUACCAUAAACAAAUAAUCACACAAAUAAUUCUAUAAUUACAGAGUCUAAGAAAGACUACAAAGGAAAAAAGUAUAGGAUAGGGAUAUGGCAACGAGAAUUGAUUUAGUGGAGAAGCACCAGGUAAGCCUUCUCUGAAGAAGUAUCAGGAUUGAACCCUAAAGGGUAAGGAGGAGUUAGUGAAGAGAAAAACAGCAGGAGGAUUGGAGGCAUGUUCUAAACUGAGAAAACAGUAAGCGUUAAGAUUCUCAGACAGGAAAGGGUUUGGCGUAUUUCAUGAACUCAGCGGCAGCUGUGUGCGUUGAGCAUACAAAGGAGGGGGAGUAGGAUAACAAAUGAGGCCGAAAUGGUUGGGGAGACGGCACACAGCCGAACUGUGCAAACUUUUUCCUUCCAUCUCAAAGAGCAUAGAUUUUACUUCUUAUGUCUUGAAUGGGAAGCCAAAUGAAGAUUUUAUGCAGGGCAUUGACAUAAGUUUGAUAUGUCUUUAAACAUUGUUCUGCCAGUAACACGGGAUAUGAAACAGCAGGAAGCUUGUGGUAUAUCUAUUAGGAUUUCUAUUAAGUCUUUCUCAUCAUUUCGCAUGCGGUUCACACGUUAUUUGUAAGUUUCAGGCCCUCUUCGAUGACUGCCAUUGCGGUUUCAAAGUUCAAAGCAAAGAUACAUCAGCAUGAGGCAUACUCAUUCAGGACCAUAGAGGUGAGACCAGUGAGGCACAUUGAUAUUUAAUUUACUUUAAGUCACCCAAUAUUAAGUGGCAUGAUUGGGACUGGAAUCCAGGAUUGCCUGGGAAGUAAUACACAUCAGCUGGCACUCCAUUGGCACAUCAUUCUAGACACGACCACCACCUGUCUCUCUUGACAUAUGGACGGAAGGAAACAAAAAUUUGGUAAG
ensembl:lncRNA